rnacentral:rRNA from 1 species
GACGAACGCUGGCGGCGUGCUUAACACAUGCAAGUCGAACGGAAAGGCCCUGCUUUUGUGGGGUGCUCGAGUGGCGAACGGGUGAGUAACACGUGAGUAACCUGCCCUUGACUUUGGGGUAACUUCAGGAAACUGGGGCUACUACCGGAUAGGAGCUCCUGCUGCAUGGUGGGGGUUGGAAAGUUUCGGCGGUUGGGGAUGGACUCGCGGCUUAUCAGCUAGUUGGUGGGGUAGUGGCUUACCAAGGCUUUGGCGGGUAGCCGGCCUGAGAGGGUGACCGGCGACCUUGGGACUGCGAUACGGCCCAGACUCCUACGGUAGGCAGCAGGGGGGAAUAUUGCACAAUGGGCGGACGCCUGAUGCAGCAACGCCGCGUGCGGGAUGACGGCCUGCGGGUUGUAAACCGCUGUCGCCUGUGACGAAGCGUGAGUGACGGUAAUGGGUAAAGAAGCACCGGCUAACUACGUG